UCCCGACGCGCGCCCCCGCCCGCUGCCCUUCCCCCGCCAUCCAGCCCCGGGUUGCUGCCAAGUGGGGGGUUCGGGGUAGCGGAACUCCCGGGCUGGGCGCAGGAAACCCGGGUGGGGAGAUGCGGUCCCAGGUUCGGGGCACGUGCACACGGGUGAAGACGCUGUCGGAAAGGCAGCCGAGAUGUUUUUCUCCUCUCCUCCCGGCUCCUACGGCCCCCUCCCAUCUGCGAACAGCCGCCUUCCCGCACGAGCCACGACAAAGCCGCCAUAGGUAUACAGGCACUCACAACAAACCUGCCAGCAGGCUCACUGUCUUCGUGGAUGGAGGCCUGGAAACCUCAGCAGCUGUACUAAAUGAGCUGAAUUGCAAGCCAAAAUGCUCUAGUGCUCCUUGGUUCCCUGUGUGCGCUUUAUUUCCUUACAAAGAGUGGCCACUGCAUUCGCAGCCCGGUGGUUCUGACUGGGGAACCCUGGAAUUGUGGCUGACUCCCCAACGGCCAUGCUAGACGCCCACCCCAACUAUUCACCCUCAGAGAACUGUGUACGGAAUGGGUCACGGGUUCUUAACCCUCUCAGUUAGUUAGGCUUUUAGGCGGUGACUCACAUGGAAGCCAUGAACCGUGAAAACUAGUAAAGGAAAUUUUAAUUACAACUGGAGACCGGAAUGUCUCUAGAGGGGGCUCUCAUGCCCUGAACAAGAAGAGAGGACCUUGCACCUCUAACAGAAAGUGCUUGUACUUCACUCCCGCCUAAGGGGAAGGAAGAUUUUCUUCUCGCCCAGCAACAAGCCCAGUCAAGGGAAAAAGUGUUGCUCAGCCAAUGAACAGCCAUUGUCAUCCUGAACUCUUACUUUCCUCCAAUGAACUUGCACUUUUCUUUUCUAAUGAUGUCUUUGACCCACCUCCUUCCUAGAAAACACUUCCAUUAAAAAAAAAAAAAAUUACUUUUUCAA